rnacentral:tRNA from 1 species
GUGGCUGUAGCUUAGUGGUAGAGCUCUUACCUAGCAUGUGUGAGGCACUGGGUUUGAUCCUCAGCACCACA